rnacentral:rRNA from 1 species
AUACGUAGGGGGCAAGCGUUAUCCGGAUUUACUGGGUGUAAAGGGAGCGUAGGUGGUGUGGUAAGUCAGAUGUGAAAGCCCGGGGCUCAACCCCGGGACUGCAUUUGAAACUAUCAUGCUUGAGUACAGGAGAGGUAAGUGGAAUUCCUAGUGUAGCGGUGAAAUGCGUAGAUAUUAGGAGGAACACCAGUGGCGAAGGCGGCUUACUGGACUGUAACUGACACUGAGGCUCGAAAGCGUGGGGAGCAAACAGGAUUAGAUACCCUGGUAGUCCACGCGGUAAACGAUGAAUACUAGGUGUCGGGGGUCAAAAGACCUCCGGUGCCGCAGCUAACGCAAUAAGUAUUCCACCUGGGGAGUACGUCCGCAAGAAUGAA